GGCCGGCGCCUGGCGGCGGAAGUGGCUCCCGCGCUGGGACUUGAGUGUUUGUGUUUUGGUUCGCGACGGAGUCGCCGGCUGGUCUGAGGGGAGGAGGCAGAGGAGGGAGGAGGAGGAAGAAUUAGUCGGAACUCGAGCGCCGGCGGUGGCGGAGGAGGAGAAAGGAAAAGAGGAAGGCGGAGCGGAGAGAGGCGGAGACGGAGCCGGACGGGGGCGGCACCACGGCACGAUCCCGGCACCGUCCAGUCUGAGGGGAGCGGCCUGAGGAGGAGACGCGCCGCCGCCGUCUAAGCCACAGCCUCACCCUCUCCUCGGGCCACGCCUGGGACCUGCUGCUGGGAGGCUUCAGCCCCGCGGCUCCGCGUGCUGCGGUCUCAGGUUUCUCUACAUCCAGAAAGAAAAAAAUUUGACACCUUGCAUCCUGGAAGUUCAUUUAAAAGACUGAAAUUAGGGACUUCUUUCAAAUUUGGACAUGGCUAAUCGAGGAGCAACAAGACCCAACGGGCCAAAUACUGGAAAUAAAAUAUGCCAGUUCAAACUAGUACUUCUGGGAGAGUCUGCUGUUGGCAAAUCAAGCCUAGUGCUUCGUUUUGUGAAGGGCCAGUUUCAUGAAUUUCAAGAGAGUACCAUAGGGGUAACUCUCGAAGUGAUAAAAGCUGUUUCUUUGUGAAAUAUGGGCCCGAAAAGAAAACCAACUGCUAGUGCUGGUGAUGAAGUGAAGAGAAAAUGAAGAGGUCUAAGAAAGUGAUGGUUCUUAGCCAGAAAAUAGACGUUUUGGAUAAAUUAAAGUGGUUGUGCAGAUUAAGCUGCUUUCCUAACCCAAACUGUGUGUCUUGAUGACACAACAGUAAAGUUUGAAAUAUGGGAUACAGCUGGUCAAGAACGAUACCAUAGCCUAGCACCAAUGUACUACAGAGGAGCACAAGCAGCCAUAGUUGUAUAUGAUAUCACAAAUGAGGAGUCCUUUGCCAGAGCCAAAAACUGGGUUAAAGAACUUCAGAGGCAAGCCAGUCCUAACAUUGUAAUAGCUUUAUCAGGAAACAAGGCUGACCUUGCAAAUAAAAGAGCUGUCGAUUUCCAGGAAGCACAGUCCUAUGCAGAUGACAACAGUUUAUUAUUCAUGGAGACAUCAGCUAAAACAUCAAUGAAUGUAAAUGAAAUAUUCAUGGCAAUAGCUAAAAAGUUGCCAAAGAAUGAACCACAGAAUCCAGGAGCAAAUUCUGCCAGAGGAAGAGGAGUAGACCUUACUGAACCCACGCAGCCAACCAGGAGUCAGUGUUGUAGUAACUAAACCUCCAGUUUGAACUUGCUGGAAUACUCUUCUGCUUCCUCGAUGUUAAUGACAGUGGAAUUGGAGCAUUUAACCAGCCCAGUAUGACUUCCAAAAAGAAGAGACUUAUGAUAGAGUCAAGUUUCUAAUACAGAAUUAUUUUAAGUGUUUUGAACUUAAUUUUUAAUAACAUGCAUGUGACCCUCUGACUAACGUUUCAGAAGUAGAAAGGGGGAAUGAGAGCUGUGUGUGUAUGCUUGUUUCCUUGGACGGUUAGGGGGAAUCAUUUCUCAUCACCAGGGAUAGAGACAAAUGAUGACGAAAACCCACAGUUAACCAGCCACUUCUAUGAAAAAAAUUUGGAACUUAUUAAUUUGGGCUUUUCAGAAAACAUUCUUUUUUUAGAAGGAGAUUCUAAGGAUAUUUAUGCUUAGCUAUGGUGUUCAGGCAACUGGUAAUUUCUCUUAGUAUGCAUAUUUAAAAUGUACAUUCCACGUUUUAACAAAUUAACCACAAGAAAACAGUGCCACAUCUUUAGUGAAAGGGUGAAAAAAAUGAACAUGAGUGGCAUCUAAAUUAUAGCUGUCCUGGUAUUUUUAGUGGGGUAAAAAAAAGUCAAAUAUAAUCUCUUGUUUUAGGAAUAUGAAAACUGAUCUUAAUGGAUAGUGUUCCCUUCAAACAUGUGAGCUCUUCAACAGAAAUGAAACAAACCAGGUGUCUGUGAUUUCUGUUCAAUCACUGCUGGCCAUUACAUAGGUUUUGUUGUUUGGGGGCAGGGAGGGGGCUUUCGUUCCCUUUGGACGUAAUAUAGUCAAUGCACUAACAAUUAUGUACAUUCAAACUUGAUUAUUUUAAAUUUGAUCCUCAGCUGUACUGUAAAUAGGGUACUGCACUGUAGUCUCCAUAUAUGUUUAUUACUUUUUCUGUAAUAUUUAAGAGUUGCUUAAAAGUAUACAAAAUGUACAGUUACUAAAACAGCUAAUUUUACCUUUUCUCUCCCUUUGAAAGGAAGGGGCUCCAGUUGUUCCUACAUGGCUAGAACCAUAAUAAACAAUGUACCAGUAAUUUGUAACAUAAAUAUUGCCGUAUGUUAGUAACAAUCUUGCAGCCUUGUUUUCCAAAGUUCAUUUUAUUUUGAUCAGUUCAGUAUAUUGCACUAAUUGUUUUAGGUAUUUUCAUUAUAUGAAAUCUACCAUGUGUCAGAGAUGAUUUAAUCUAUUUAAGUGUUGAACUGCUAGCAGAACUUGUACAUUUACAGUAAUUCAGAAUUAGUAAGGAAAACAGUUCACCAGUGUUUAGUUUUAUAUUGAGGUGCUCAGGUUGGAAUAAAGUGGUAUAAAAAGCAA